CUCCUACGGGAGGCAGCAGUGGGGAAUAUUGGACAAUGGGCGCAAGCCUGAUCCAGCCAUGCCGCGUGUGUGAAGAAGGCCUUCGGGUUGUAAAGCACUUUUGUUGGGGAAGAAAAGCUUCCGGUUAAUACCCGGGAGUCAUGACGGUACCCAAAGAAUAAGCACCGGCUAACUUCGUGCCAGCAGCCGCGGUAAUACGAAGGGUGCAAGCGUUACUCGGAAUUACUGGGCGUAAAGCGUGCGUAGGUGGUUUGUUAAGUCUGAUGUGAAAGCCCUGGGCUCAACCUGGGAACUGCAUUGGAUACUGGCAGGCUUGAGUGCGGUAGAGGAUAGCGGAAUUCCCGGUGUAGCAGUGAAAUGCGUAGAUAUCGGGAGGAACAUCUGUGGCGAAGGCGGCUAUCUGGACCAGCACUGACACUGAGGCACGAAAGCGUGGGGAGCAAACAGGAUUAGAUACCCUGGUAGUCCACGCCCUAAACGAUGCGAACUGGAUGUUGGGUGCACUUAGGCACUCAGUAUCGAAGCUAACGCGUUAAGUUCGCCGCCUGGGGAGUACGGUCGCAAGACUGAAACUCAAAGGAAUUGACGG
rnacentral:rRNA from 1 species